rnacentral:rRNA from 1 species
CCUACGGGAGGCAGCAGUAGGGAAUAUUGCUCAAUGGGGGAAACCCUGAAGCAGCAACGCCGCGUGGAGGAUGAAGGUUUUCGGAGUGUAAACUCCUGUUGGUAGAGAAGAGAAUGACGGUAUCUAACGAAUAAGCACCGGCUAACUCCGUGCCAGCAGCCGCGGGAACACGGAGGGGGCAAGCGUUACUCGGAAUCACGGGGCGUAAAGGGCGCGUAGGCGGGAUCGCAAGUCAGAUGUGAAAUCCUCUGGCUUAACCCUAGAACUGCAUUUGAAACUGUUAUUCUAGAGUAUGGGAGAGGUAGGUGGAAUUCUUGGUGUAGCGGUCAAAUCCGUAGAGAUCAGGAGGAAUACUCAUUGCGAAGGCGACCUGCUAGAACAUAACUGACGCUGAUGCGCGAAAGCGUGGGGAGCAAACAGGAUUAGAUACCCUUGUAGUC